rnacentral:misc_RNA from 1 species
UCUCUCAAAUACAUUAGUUUCAACGUGGUAUCAGAGCCUUCGAAUUCAUUAGGGUAGGCUUUAGUACUGUUGAUCGAUACUUUUUAGAUGCACUGUUCACGCAUACUGUUCAUGUGCAUUGUUCAUAGGCACUAUUCAAGGGUACUAUACAUUGGCACUACUCACAGUACGUGGACCUCCGACCUUUUCAACUGUUCUUCGUGUGUUGCGCUUCUAUCCAGCCCUUGUCUUUGAUUUGACCACAAGCAAAUAUGUCUGA